UUUCUUAACAUUAUUAUUAUUAUCGAUUUUUUUAGGAAAGACCAUGUGUUCUGAUGCUUUAACAUUUUUUAUUCUUCUGUUGGUGCCUUUCUAUUAGAUUCUACAAAUUGUUAUUUCUAUAGGAUAUCCAUUUUAAAAAACAAAGUGAGGUGUCUAGAUCAGUAUGUAUAUUAGGUUAUCUAUUGCUGCAUAACAACAUACCCUAAAAAUUAGCAGCUUAAAAUAACAAACACUUGUAUCAUAAUUGUGGUGGAUUAAGACAUCAGGCACAAUAUACUUGGGUGCUUCUGACUCAGAACUCUGAGGAGGUUAUAGUCAGGAUGGUGGCUGUGGCUGAUGCUCAUCUGAAGGCUUGACAGGGAGUGGAUUCACUUUCAAGCUCAGUCAUGUGGUUGCUGGCACAAUUUAAUUCUUUGUGGGAUAUGGGACUGAGAGCCUGAAUUCCUUACUGUUUGUUGGUUUGGGGCCUCCCUAGGUUCCUUGCCACACAGGCUUCCAAAGGGAAGUUUACAACAUGGGAGCU